AUAUUAAUAGGGUUUCUUGGGGAUGGGGUCCAGGAGCAUCAAACAGGUGACCAGCAGCACGAUGGUGUCACAGCUCCAAUUCCUCCUCUUUGUGGCACUGGGCAUCUCAGGUGUGUCUGGGGACAUCGUGAUGACCCAGUCUCCAGCCUCCCUGAACGGGUCUCCAGGAGAACGCAUUGCCAUGAACUGCAAGUCUAGCCAGAGUCUUCUAUACAGCUCCAACCAGAAGAACUACUUAGCUUGGUACCAGCAGAAACCAGGGCAGGCUCCUAAGCUACUCAUCAUCUGGGCAUCCACCCGGGCAUCUGGGGUUCCCGACCGGUUCAGCGGCAGUGGGUCUGGGACAGACUUCACCCUCACCAUCAGCAACCUCCAGGCUGAAGAUGUGGGGGACUAUUACUGCAUGCAGUAUUAUAGCUCUCCGCCCACAGUGCUUCAGCCUCGAACACAAACCUGUUCCCCAGGGCCAUGGGGUAAGGGAGGCUUUGCUGAACCAGCUGCUUCCUCCCCGCUCAGCCUUGUUUCUCCCUAAGUUGUAGGAUAAG